rnacentral:rRNA from 1 species
GAUGAACGCUGGCGGCGUGCCUAAUACAUGCAAGUCGAGCGAACGGACGAGAAGCUUGCUUCUCUGAUGUUAGCGGCGGACGGGUGAGUAACACGUGGAUAACCUACCUAUAAGACUGGGAUAACUUCGGGAAACCGGAGCUAAUACCGGAUGAUAUUUUGAACCGCAUGGUUCAAAAGUGAAAGACGGUCUUGCUGUCACUUAUAGAUGGAUCCGCGCUGCAUUAGCUAGUUGGUAAGGUAACGGCUUACCAAGGCAACGAUGCAUAGCCGACCUGAGAGGGUGAUCCGCCCAACUGGAACUGAGACACGGUCCAGACUCCUACGGGAGGCAACAGUAGGGAAUCUUCCGCAAUGGGCGAAAGCCUGACGGAGCAACGCCGCGUGAGUGAUGAAGGUCUUCGGAUCUUAAAACUCUGUUAGUAGGGAAGAACAUAUGUGUAAGUAACUGUGCACAUCUUGACGGUACCUAAUCAGAAAGCCACGGCUAACUACGUG